rnacentral:rRNA from 1 species
GACGAACGCUGGCGGCGUGCUUAACACAUGCAAGUCGAACGGAAAGGCCCUGCUAUUGUGGGGUGCUCGAGUGGCGAACGGGUGAGUAACACGUGAGUAACCUGCCCUUGACUUUGGGAUAACGUCAGGAAACUGGGGCUAAUACCGGAUAGGAGCUCCUGCUGCAUGGUGGGGGUUGGAAAGUUUCGGCGGUUGGGGAUGGACGCGCGGCUUAUCAGCUUGUUGGUGGGGUAGUGGCUUACCAAGGCUUUGACGGGUAGCCGGCCUGCGAAGGUGACCGGCCACAUUGGGACUGAGAUACGGCCCAGACUGCAACGGGAGGCAACAGGGGGGAAUAUUGCACAGUAGGCGGGAGCCUGAUGCAGAAGCGCCGCGUGCGGGAAGACGGCCUUCGGGUUGAGAACCGCUUUCGCCUGUGACGAAGCGUGAGUGACGGUAAUGGAUAAAGAAGCACCGGCUAACUACGUG